rnacentral:lncRNA from 1 species
ACUAAAUUAAAAAUCAAUCGAUACACAUCCAACAUCCAAUGGAUUUAAUCCUAGACUAGACCUGUGACAAUUUUUAACCUGUCAUAUUUUGUGAAGUCUGCAGUAUCAUUGUCUGGAUAAAUGUCUUUUUUUUAUUGUAUCUUAUCUUCAACGUUUGUAUAAGUUUUGAAUGUGUAAUAUUUUAAGCUUGAUCAUGACUUAGG